CAAAUUCGGGACAGACAAUGUGGU
rnacentral:siRNA from 1 species